rnacentral:tRNA from 1 species
UGGUUUAGCUCAAUGGUAGAGCAAUGCACUUGUAAUGCAUAGGCUGUAGGUUCAAGUCCUACAAUCAGC